rnacentral:rRNA from 1 species
AUGAAAGCUCUAGUUUGGAACUGUCAGGGGUUGGGGAACGCCCCGGCAGUUCGAGCUCUGUUGGAUGUCCAACGAAGAACUGAUCCUGAUGUGGUAUUUUUGUCGGAGACCCACUUAGAGCGCUAUCCGGCAGAGUGUUUGAAGCGGCGACUUAAGAUGGAUGGUAUGAUUGUUAAUCCGAGUGAUGGUAGAGAAGGUGGAGUUGUUCUAUACUGGAAGAAAGGAAUAGAAGUUGUUCAACUGUUCUCAGAUCCGAACUAUAUUGAUGUGAGAAUAGAUGAUAAUGUUGGUCCGUGGAAGGUUGACAGGCAUGUAUGGGGAAUUUAA